rnacentral:rRNA from 1 species
CAGCAGCCGCGGUAAUACGAAGGGGGCUAGCGUUGCUCGGAAUGACUGGGCGUAAAGGGCGCGUAGGCGGCGAUCAAAGUCAGGCGUGAAAUUCCUGGGCUCAACCUGGGGGCUGCGUUUGGUACUUGAUUGCUAGAGUGGGGAAGAGGGUCGUAGAAUUCCCAGUGUAGAGGUGAAAUUCGUAGAUAUUGGGAAGAACACCGGUGGCGAAGGCGGCGACCUGGUCCUUGACUGACGCUGAGGUGCGAAAGCGUGGGGAGCAAACAGGAUUAGAUACCCGGGUAGUCCCUGUCUCUUAUAC